UCUCUCACACACACACACACACACCCAGAUAGCUGUUUCUUUUGUUACAGGUAUGGCACACACAUGUUAAUCUCUUCGAAGAAGAGUGGAAAUUCAAACUUGGGAUAAGCAGGAGAGCUAAUCGACCGAUGAUCUCCUUCUCGAUCUAGAGAGAUCGGACACAGAUAUGCAAUCUUCCUCCCUCUCUCUUGUGAUUGUUGGUUUUUGGUUCGAAUAUCUGGUUUUACUUUUGAUCGAUCGACAUAGUACUGUACUUUAAACGUCAACUGUAGUAUUCCUUUUUCAUGUAUACUUAGUGACAGUUUAUACUAUCGUACUCCUUUCAUGUACAUGUUCGUAACUUGCAUUCUUUGAACAAAAAUUAACUAGUCAUAUAUAGAAUAGAAGUCAAUUUUUUUAGAGUUCAUCAAGUGUAUACCGUUAAGAAUGAAUCUCACGUUUAUGGGAGGAGGAGUCUUGCAUGAGCUUAUAAGUAAGUUGGGCUAUUACCAAUUGGUUUUAUGGUUGAACCUCAACUUUCUUUAUGGUAUUAGAGCAGGUGGUCCCAUGUGUGAAGCUCAACGAUCAUAGUGUUACACGUCACCCCGCUUGUGUUGUCCAUGUGUUAGGCUUGAAAAUUCACCACACGUAAGGGCCGUGUUGAGAAUGAAUCACACAUAGAUGGGAGGGACAUUGCAUGGGCUUAUAAGUAAUUGGCUAUUCCCCAUAUUACUAAUUGGUUUUACGGUAGAACCCCAACUUUCUUCGAAAACUUCCCAUUGUAACUAAUAAUAUCAUAUGUAGAACAAUUCCUUUUUUUUAAGACACGGGAGAGCUAUGGAGUCAUCAAAAUUAAUUGUAAAAACAACAUGAAGAACUUUUGUUUUUCAUAUCCUAUAUAUAUUUCUUGAGCAUUGUAAGUCAAUAUAACCAAUUUUCCUCCCAAACUAAGGCCAACAUAUCACGUGUUAAAAUUUCUCUUUAUUGACUUCUCCUUAAAAGCACAAAACACCGAUUGACUAAAUCCUAAUGUUAAAAAUAUUUUGUGACCUCAAACAAGUUACCCAUUUUUAUCCCUUCUUAUGGCCACGUAAGGUCCGGAUGAGAUAAAGCAAAUUAAGUCCUAUAUAUAAGUAGAAACUUUGCCUUCAAUGGAGAGACAAUUAAGGAAUGAGGCUAAUUAAUUUGUUUGUGGCAGCCAUUCAAAUUAAGAAUGAAACGUAAUUUUAGCAUCUUUAAUAACGUGUAAAAGAAAUGAAGAAACUGUUGAUUUUUGAUUUAUUGAGUUGAGUUUUUCUUCUGUUUUUUGACGUUUCUGCUUCUCUUUAUACGCGUUGACAUUAAUCUAACAAUUUUCUUUCUGUAUUUUUGUUAUUUGACCAACCAUUUUAGUUAGAGCCACAUUUGCAACCACCCCCACCCAUAUUUUUAGCUUUUAGAGUAAAUUCUGACCAUUAAACUAACCCUUUGUUUUCCUUUUUGCUGUUUUUGGUUUAGAUUAUUACUUAUGGCCCAGAAAUAUAGCCGAGCAUGUAGGGUUUAGAAAUUGAUGGAUGUACCACCUAUUAAUUUGCGUACUUUAUUCAUGGUU
rnacentral:sRNA from 1 species